UGUCGGAGCUUUGACAAUUCCUAGGAUUGAUUUCGAGUGCCGGUGAAAACAAUGCGAGUUUAUUUUGUGCAGUGUGCGCGAUAUAUAAAGUUGCUGGUAAGUCAUGAACUUCUGCUUUCUAUUUAAUUUUAAAUAAAUGAAAGGAGACAAUUAAAACAAAUGCUUUGCAUUCAUUUGCUUUUUCUUGUGAUGGUUGUGCUGCGCUGCACAGCAUCGUGGUUUAGCUACUCAAUUUUCUACUGAGCAUUUCGACUCUACUUUCUAAUCCAAUAUUAAUGAAUAACAUCGAUGGCAAAAGAGCGAAAUCAGGAAUGUCAAACAAAGUCGGUUACCAGCCAGUCUGGACGGAGGAUGUAGAGGCGGCUUUGAACUCGGUGGUGGUGACUGAGGGACUCCAAGUGCCAAGGCCACGGACGACCAUGCCACAAAUCUCGGUGGACAGCGUCCAAGGGCGGAUGGACCGACGACAACAACGCCUCAACACAGAACUCCUGGACGCCUCCAUCAAAGGCCUCCUCCCCGCUGUCAAAAGGGCUUUAGACGAGGGCGCGAAUGUGAACACGGUCUGCCGCGACUCGGGUGUUUCCGCGAGCCAUAUCGCCGCCCACUUGGGACACACGGCCAUUCUGCAGCAUUUGCUGUCCGCCGGGGCCAAACCUAAGAGCGAUUUCAAAGGUCGACACCCAUUCACCUGGCAGCCUGGCGCGGGCACUUGAGUGUUCUCGAAAUCCUCGUCAAAGAUGACGUUGACGUCAAAGUAGAACUACCGAAGAACGAGGAUCUUCAAGCCACGUCAUUGGAUUCCUGGGACCAUAAUCAUUGUUCAAUCAAUCAGACGGUUAGUACCAAGUACCCGCUAGCUUUUUAUUUUUUUCGACAUGUCAUCACUGAGUAUUACAGCAGAGCUCUCUGAAGAUUGUGGUGUCUGCGCACAAAUUUUGGAAACCACCUUGGUUGACACAUUAAUCUAGAAAAAAAAGAGAAAAAAAGAAAAACGCAAUAGUGUACAGUUCCUUCGGAAAAUACACUAAAAAAAUCG
rnacentral:lncRNA from 1 species